CCUAGGUGGCAGCAGAGCACUCCAGGAUUGGUGGAAGACUGUGGUUUGAGACCAGGGAAUCAGGGAAUUCAUUGAAAGGGUCUGAGACCACAGCCAUAAUCUGUGAAAGCCAAGAGGACGGCUAAGGACUAAGGAAUUGACAUUGAGCCCGAACUGGCAGAAGAGACUCAAGCCCCAAAUCGUGACAUGCACACAGAAAAAAGUGUGUGGGCCACUGACUUAGGAAGACUGCGUUUUCAGGGGAAAUAACCCAUGGGUGAGCGCUGUGGCCCAGACAAGAACUCAGACCUCGCUGAACUAGGGACUAAGCAGACUGCCACAUUUGGGAGCUCAUCUGGGAUUGUCAGAAGGGUGAGUCAGAGCAGACCUCUAACUCCUUACUUUCAUUUCUGAGGCUU
rnacentral:lncRNA from 1 species